rnacentral:rRNA from 1 species
UACGAAGGGGGCUAGCGUUGUUCGGAAUCACUGGGCGUAAAGCGCUUGUAGGCGGAUCGUUAAGUCAGGGGUGAAAUCCCGAGGCUCAACCUCGGAACUGCCUUUGAUACUGGCGAUCUUUGAGUCCGGGAGAGGUGAGUGGAACUCCGAGUGUAGAGGUGAAAUUCGUAGAUAUUCGGAAGAACACCAGUGGCGAAGGCGGCUCACUGGACCGGCAUUGACGCUGAGGUGCGAAAGCGUGGGGAGCAAACAGG